CCUACGGGUGGCAGCAGGGAGGGAUAUUGGUCAAUGGGGGAAACCCUGAACCAGCAACGCCGCGGGAGGGAAGAAGGGGUUCGGAGGGUAAACCUCUGUCCGCGGGGAAGAGAAUGACGGUAGCAGAGGAGGAAGCUCCGGCUAACUACGUGCCAGCAGCCGCGGUAAUACGUAGGGCGCAAGCGUUGUCCGGAUUUACUGGGUGUAAAGGGUGCGUAGGGGGCCUUGCAAGUCAGAAGGGAAAUCCCUGGGCUUAACCCGUGAACUGCUUGUGAAACUGGAGGGCUUGAGGGCAGUAGGGGCAGGCGGAAUUCCCGGUGUAGCGGUGCACUGCGUCGCUCUCGG
rnacentral:rRNA from 1 species